rnacentral:rRNA from 1 species
GAACUUAAGCAUAUCAAUAAGCGGAGGAAAAGAAACCAACAGGGAUUGCCUCAGUAACGGCGAGUGAAGCGGCAACAGCUCAAAUUUGAAAUCUGGCUCUUUCAGGGUCCGAGUUGUAAUUUGUAGAAGAUGCUUUGGGUGUAGCUCCGGUCUAAGUUCCUUGGAACAGGACGUCAUAGAGGGUGAGAAUCCCGUAUGUGACUGGGUGCUUUCGCUCGUGUAAAGCUCUUUCGACGAGUCGAGUUGUUUGGGAAUGCAGCUCAAAAUGGGUGGUAAAUUUCAUCUAAAGCUAAAUAUUGGCCAGAGACCGAUAGCGCACAAGUAGAGUGAUCGAAAGAUGAAAAGCACUUUGGAAAGAGAGUUAAACAGUACGUGAAAUUGUUGAAAGGGAAGCGCUUGCAACCAGACUUGCGCGCUGUUGAUCAUCCGAGCUUUUGCCCGGUGCACUCGGCAGCGUUCAGGCCAGCAUCGGUUUUGGUGGGCGGAUAAAGGCCUUGGGAAUGUAGCUUCUUUCGGGGAGUGUUAUAGCCCUCGGUGCAAUGCGCCCUACCGGGACCGAGGACCGCGCUUCGGCUAGGAUGCUGGCGUAAUGGUUGUAAGCGACCCGUCUUGAAACACGGACCAAGGAGUCUAACAUCUAUGCGAGUGUUUGGGUGUCAAACCCAUACGCGUAAUGAAAGUGAACAGAGGUGAGAACCCUUAAGGGUGCAUCAUCGACCGAUCCUGAUGUCUUCGGAUGGAUUUGAGUAAGAGCAUAGCUGUUGGGACCCGAAA